GGCGAGUGAAGCGGCAAAAGCUCAAAUUUGAAAUCUGGCGUCUUCGACGUCCGAGUUGUAAUUUGAAGAAGGCAACUUUGUAGCUGGUCCUUGUCUAUGUUCCUUGGAACAGGACGUCAUAGAGGGUGAGAAUCCCGUGUGGCGAGGAUCCCAGUUAUUUGUAAAGUGCUUUCGACGAGUCGAGUUGUUUGGGAAUGCAGCUCUAAGUGGGUGGUAAAUUCCAUCUAAAGCUAAAUAUUGGCGAGAGACCGAUAGCGAACAAGUACAGUGAUGGAAAGAUGAAAAGAACUUUGAAAAGAGAGUGAAAAAGUACGUGAAAUUGUUGAAAGGGAAGGGCAUUUGAUCAGACAUGGCGUUUGCUUCGGCUUUCGCUGGGCCAGCAUCAGUUUUAGCGGUUGGAUAAAUCCUCGGGAAUGUGGCUCUGCUUCGGUAGAGUGUUAUAGCCCGUGGGAAUACAGCCAGCUGGGACUGAGGAUUGCGACUUUUGUCAAGGAUGCUGGCGUAAUGGUUAAAUGCC
rnacentral:rRNA from 1 species